CAGAGUUGCAAAACUCCCAACCAUUGUGAACGAACCCGUUACAGUUGCUUCGGCGGAUGGUGCGCUGAAACCGCCCGCCGACAGCAUGCAAACCUCUGAAUUACAGUGGAUCUCUGAGUAGCUUAUUUAAUAAGUCA
rnacentral:misc_RNA from 1 species